rnacentral:rRNA from 1 species
ACCCGCACAAGCGGUGGAUGAUGUGGUUUAAUUCGAUGCAACGCGAAAAACCUUACCCACCUUUGACAUGGCAGGAAUCCUAAAGAGAUUUGGAGUGCUCGAAAGAGAACCUGCACACAGGUGCUGCAUGGCUGUCGUCAGCUCGUGUCGUGAGAUGUUGGGUUAAGUCCCGCAACGAGCGCAACCCUUGCCAUUAGUUGCUACGAAAGGGCACUCUAAUGGGACUGCCGGUGACAAACCGGAGGAAGGUGGGGGAUGACGUCAAGUCCUCAUGGCCCUUAUAGGUGGGGCUACACACGUCAUACAAUGGCCGGUACAGAGGGUAGCCAACCCGCGAGGGGGAGCCAAUCCCACAAAGCCGGUCGUAGUCCGGAUCGCAGUCUGCAACUCGACUGCGUGAAGUCGGAAUCGCUAGUAAUCGCGGAUCAGCAUGUCGCGGUGAAUACGUUCCCGGGUCUU